GAUGAAGAACGCAGCGAAACGCGAUAUGUAAUGUGAAUUGCAGAAUUCAGUGAAUCAUCGAAUCUUUGAACGCACAUGGCGCCUUCCAGUAUCCUGGGAGGCAUGCCUGUCCGAGCGUCGUUUCAACCCUCGAGCCCCCGUGGCCCGGCGUUGGGGAUCUGCCCAGGCAGUCCCCGAAAACCAGUGGCGGACCCGUUACAGGCCCUUCCCUUGCGUAGUAGCAUUCGCCUCGCAUCGGGAGCCGGCGGGCUUCCAGCCUCUAAACCCCCAUCAAGUCCGCCCCGGCGGCACCAAGGUUGACCUCGGAUCAGGUAGGAAUACCCGCUGAACUUAAGCAUAUCAAUAAGCUGAGGA
rnacentral:misc_RNA from 1 species